rnacentral:rRNA from 1 species
CCUACGGGAGGCUGCAGUGGGGAAUAUUGGGCAAUGGGCGCAAGCCUGACCCAGCAACGCCGCGUGAAGGAAGAAGGCCCUCGGGUUGUAAACUUCUUUUAUUCGGGACGAAACAAAUGACGGUACCGAAUGAAUAAGCCACGGCUAACUACGUGCCAGCAGCCGCGGUAAUACGUAGGUGGCAAGCGUUAUCCGGAUUUACUGGGUGUAAAGGGCGUGUAGGCGGGAGAGCAAGUCAGACGUGAAAUUCCAGGGCUCAACCUGUGGCCUGCAUUUGAAACUGUUUUUCUUGAGUGCUGGAGAGGCAAGCGGAAUUCCGUGUGUAGCGGUGAAAUGUGUAGAUAUACGGAGGAACACCAGUGGCGAAGGCGGAUUGCUGGACAGUAACUGACGCUGAGGCGCGAAAGCGUGGGGAGCAAACAGGAUUAGAUACCCUGGUAGUC